CUUAAGGUCGUUAUCACGAACCUUGAUUCAAGUUCAAAAAUUGAUCUUGAAGCAAAAAUGUGGCCUGAUGAAAAAUCUGAUAGACCUGUAUCAUCUCGUGUGUACAAGGUUCCUUUUACAAAGGUUGUGUACAUUGAGCGGUCUGAUUUUAGACUGAAGGACUCGAAAGAUUACUAUGGGCUUGCUCCAGGGAAAUCUGUUUUUCUCAGAUAUGCAUUUCCAAUAGAAUGCACAGG
rnacentral:misc_RNA from 1 species